AUGUGACCCGUGGUAGGAUAAAAUCUAAUAUUAUUGGGGUAUAGAACUUUGUCAACCGUCCAUAUAAUUCUUAUAACAUUUGAUUCGAUUUUAGAUUAAUAAAUUUUGGUUUGGUUCACUUCAAUUCGGUUUGGUUUAUCUUCCCACUCAACCGUUGAACGAACUUAGUCUGAGUAAAUAAAAAAUCCGUGCACAUUACAUUUAGCCCCAAAAUGCCUCUCUAUCUGGUGGAGCGACACCAAAACUAAGCUUUAUCAUUUUCCAGAGAAUCGUCUCUUUGGGUAAUCGGAGAAUCACAAAAAAAAAAUGGGAACCAUAGGAUGAGCUAUUUACACUGGGUAAUUGGAUUCAUGGGAUUGGUCAAGCUUUUGAUCGUGUUGGUUCUCUUCUUCAAGGAAGCCGCGACAUCUGUCGAGGCAUCGGGCGUUGAUGAAUGUGUUUGAUUCACCAAACACGUAUUGGCGCCGCAUCCAAUUAAAAUGGAAAUCGAAAGAUAAGAUUUUAUCGUUAA